AUUGAACGCUGGCGGCAUGCCUUACACAUGCAAGUCGAACGGUAACAGGUUAAGCUGACGAGUGGCGAACGGGUGAGUAAUGUAUCGGAACGUGCCCAGUCGUGGGGGAUAACUGCUCGAAAGAGCAGCUAAUACCGCAUACGACCUGAGGGUGAAAGCGGGGGAUCGCAAGGCCUCGCGCGAUUGGAGCGGCCGAUAUCAGAUUAGGUAGUUGGUGAGGUAAAGGCUCAGCAAGCCGACGAUCUGUAGCUGGUCUGAGAGGACGACCAGCCACACUGGGACUGAGACACGGCCAAGACUCCUACGGGAGGCAGCAGUGGGGAAUUUUGGACAAUGGGCGCAAGCCUGAUCCAGCCAUGCCGCGUGCGGGAAGAAGGCCUUCGGGUUGUAAACCGCUUUUGUCAGGGAAGAAAAGGUUCUGGCUAAUACCUGGGACUCAUGGCGGUACCUGAAGAAUAAGCACCGGCUAACUACGUG
rnacentral:rRNA from 1 species